CUUCUUUUUCUUCUUUUUUCUUCUCUUCCUCAUUCUCCUUCUUUUUAAUAGGCUAAAUUAUAUUUUAAAAGUUGGUUAAUUGAAACAACCACCAGGUGUAGGCAAUUAUAAAGAAAAUGUUAGGUAAGGAAAUAGAGGUUCAUUUUUGAUGCAGCCAAGAGUGAUAAAACUUAGGAAAACAAAUAAAUUUGAUUUUAUUUUAAAAGAUCUAAACUCCCUAUAUAAAGAAAGCAUUUACUUGGAAAUGAUUUAUCUGACCCUCUCUUUGUUACACUUGUUCAUGGUGUUUCUUUGCUAGAUUGUUAGCUCCUCAAUGGCCAGCGCUAUUGCAUUGGUGUCUUGUACAUAGCAGGUUCUUCAUAUGUAUGUGAUAAAUCAAUAAAUUUUUGAGAAAGUAAUAUUCCAAGAUUAUAAGGGUAGCACAUCAAAUAAUAUCUUUUUAAAACUUCAUCUUUUCCCAAGUCAGCCACAUUAUCCAGUCUUUACAUCUACAUAUUUGCAUUGUCAUUUCCUUGGCGAUUCUCUUUUUCUAAUUUGAUACCACUGCCUCCUUGAUAGUCUGGGCUUUCACUUUUUAAAAAAUGGCCUUGUAAAUAAUGGUUCACUUGAAAAUUCUAUCCCCUAUAAAUAACUGAUAUUAUAAAUAUUUAUAUUAGACCUGCACACUGAAUGUAAAUGUGUACAAUCAAGGGAAGCAGUUAGGCUUCACCAUAACUAGCUCUCAAGUCCCUUUCCAAAUAUGUUUGGAAAAGUAUUAUCUCCUCUUCCAAUUAUUAGAUGUGCUUUGAGCAAUUUUUAUGAAUUGAUGGCACUGGAUUUUAUUUCAGGAUAGAAUAAAUAUUAUUGGAGAAUUGUGCAGAAAUAACUUUAUAAGCUACAGAGCAGGUGGGAGGAAAUAUCCAGCGAUUUCUUGACUGACCAUAAUGGUGAUUUAAAUUAAAGACUUGAGUCUAACAACAACAAAAUACAGCAGGUCCUGGAAUAAUGUCUUUUCUUCAACAUUGUUUCAUUGUAAUGUUAAUGAGAAAAAAAUUCGCUGCCCAGCUGGGGCCACCGUCUGUGUAAAGUUUGUACAUUCUCCCCACAUCUGUACAAAUUUCAUCUGGGUACUCUUGAUUCCUUUCACAUCCCAAAGGUGCACACGUUACACGGAUUGCGCAGUCUGAGCGGGUGUAGGUGUGGGCCGAGUGCACCCUGCGAUAGAUGAGGCCUCCUGUCCGGGGCUGGUUCCCCGUGAGCCCUGAGCUACCUGGAUAGGCUCUGGCCACGCACAGCCCUGAACUGGAUAAGUGGAGACAUAUAUGGAAGCAGAAGCUAUGAAUUAUAAAAGACCUUGAUUCCAAUCCCGACUCCAGAUAAGUAUUGACCUUGCUUUGUGCUACCUACACAUAUGAUAUACAUCUUUUAUGGAACACAAGGACUCAGUACUUCCAGCUUAUGAAUGUAUUUGAUGGCCAAGGUACUAAUUGCCUUACUUCAUACAAAGAAUGUGUGUGUGUGUGUGUGUGUGUGUGUGUGUUUUAAAGAGUGUGGUUUGUUUCUUGCAAGCUAUAUGACUUUGUUACCCAAAGUGUUGGAGAAUUAGCCAGUGUGGAAAAAAAAAAUCCAUGUGUCUGGUCAUAGAAGUAGUUCUGUGUUGAGUUGAGAGCACAGUAGGAGAAAACAGUUGUUUUUUCCUACUAUAUUAAUAAUCCCCAAAUUAAUUCUAAAGAAUAUUUCCUUUUACAAAGUAAGUCAUGGAAAUUCCUAUUACAGUCUUCCAUUCCAGGUUGUAGAGAAAAAUUUUAUGGUCGCAACUUAAUUUUUAAAAUAUAAAAUCUCUUUUUAUCUCUUUUUAAUAGAGGGAAUAUAUAAGUUCCAUCCAUGGCUACAUUAAUGGCCCCAAAUUAUACUGUUUCCUGGAGUUUCUGGGGAAAUGAGCCAUACCAUAUAUCAUUAUCAUUCUUGAUCAUAUUAAUAGCCUUAAUUAUUCCAUUUUAUACAUAAUAAUAUGGAUUUUAUUAAUUUCCUUAUGCUUGGAGUCAAGAAUUUUAAUGGAGGCCUUAUAAAUGUUUUAAUAGGCACACACAUAUUAAUAUUAUAUUUAAAACUGUAUCUAGAUUCAAAGACAAACAUUGUGUUAGCUUUAACCUAAGAGAGAGGAAAAGAAAAAUCAAAAUGGAUGUUUAUAAUUUUUUCACCUCCAAUAAUUAAUUUUUAUAUUUACCAAAAUCAUAUAUUCAAGUAGUGCUUUGGUAUAAAUACAAAAGUGCUUUGUACAUAAAUAUAAGGGACUAUGCUAUGUCGGAUCAUACGUGCAUUUAUAUUGGACUAUUUCUCUGAAUUCUUUAUGUAUUACAGAAAACUUAGUCAUCCAAACAAGGUUUUUGGCUUGGUUCAUUCAGUUCUACAACUUCCGUUUUUACCAUCCUGUCUGUGAGAGAAGGUAUUUGAGGCAGAAGUGCUUGCCUGAGGCCAAGGAGGUUGUGUGGGCUCAAGUACAUGCAUGUUAACUCUGAGUGAAAACAUCUUGCCUCUGAAGAAAUUCAUAAUUUGUAACAGUUUGAAAGAUCUCACUCUAAGUGGGAAGAAGCCAUUUGGGGAAUAGAUUGGGUAUGCGUAAGAAAUGACGAAGUGAUAAAAGAAGUUUGGUGCCAAGUUCUUCUGUUACAGACACCCAGUAUAGUAGUUCUGAUAUAAAAUACAUUUCCUCCUUUUUUUUGGUCUUUCCUUUCCCAAUGAUGAAAAAUGAGCCAUCUUUUUGGAAUGGGAAGUUACUGGAGAGGGACCGGCUUAUGAGAAAAGCAGGUUUGGUGUGUGAGAUCACAUCCUGUGCCCAGUAAAGGUGGAGUUUACUCUAGCACUCCUUUAUUACAUGCUAAACCAGUAGUUUCACAUGAAACUGAUAUGCUUUGCCCUUUACGGAAUCCUUAGCUCCUCCUGUUUAUAUUUAGGGUGGAUAUAAUAUGAUCCUGUAGGAAUUAACGUCUAUAAAUCGCCAUUGGCUUACAAGCUUAAGAAGAUGUUUUUAAUAACAUGUAAACUCUUGGUCAUUAUAUUAAGUUAGUAAUCCUCAACUGGGAAUAAUUUUACCCCCCAGGGGGGGUAUUUGUUAAUUGUUGGAGACAUUUUUGAUCGUCACAAUGUGGGGGUGGGUAGGUGGUGUUACAGGCAUGUAGUGGGUAGGGUGUUGCUAAACAUACUUUGCACCCGAUACUCCACAACAAAGAAUUAUCUGGCCCCACAUACCAAUAAUGCUGAGGUCGAGAAACCCUGAAUUAAAGAAAGAGUUUUUUCUUGGAGAAAGAGUGGGUUGUUUCUGAACAUAUUCAGCCUUAUAACAAACUCAGAGCAGCAAAUAACAUGAGCUCCUUUCCUUAAGGUGUUUGGUUUUAUGGAAAAACAGAAUAAAAUUAAAUGAAUGUAGUAUGGGCUUAGAUAGUAGUAUACAGAAGGAAUUUCAGGAUUACAGAGGAAAAAUACUUUGAGAGAUUAAGGAAGGCCUAUUUUUAGUAGAAAUCAUUUACAUGAUAAAAUGUGCUAUAGCAAUUUAGUUGCUUUCAGUUGCAAGUAGCAGAAAAAUUUGUCAAAAAUGUUGUAGAAUGGUGCACAUAACUGAAAAGUCCAGAGGUAAAGUGAUCUUCAGUGUUGGUUUGUUUCUUCAGCUCAGUGACGUCAUUGAGGACCUUACAUCUCCCUUUCUUUCCUCUGCUUUCCAGAACGUUAAGCUUCAGUUUAAGUUUUAUUCUCCCUCACAUUUAUAAGAUGGUUACACAUCAGUGGUGAGAGAGCGUCAAUUCUAGAACCCUCUCAGAAGAGUCGGGACAUUUUAAAAAUAUAGUCCCCACCUUAUGUCUCAUGGGGCUCUGAUUGGGUUAUCUGAAUGAAUAACUGUAACCAGGGUGGAAAAAUCACACUGAUUAGCUAGAGCCCAACCAACUUCAAAGCAUAGAACAAGGGAAAUGUGGAUAUUUAAACGAAAAUGGGAAUAACUACUGAAAGAAACAAAAAUAGACGGUAGCAAGGCAACCAUGUCCACCAUAUGCUAGAAGAAUACUAAAGGCAUAAGAAACAGCAUAGAUAACGACAGAGAGAAAAGAAAGAGCAGAGCCUGCUCAAAUUUGACCUGUAAUGCAGCUGAUAUGGCUGGAAUCCAGGAGGUACGGUGGGAAGCAGGAGCAAAUGUAGUUUGAAAGGUGGGCAAGGGCCAGGUCAUAAAAUGCUGUGAUAAGAACUUUAUUCUGCAGACAAUUCAGAGCCAUUAAAGAAUUUUAAACAGAGGAAUGACAUGACGAGAAUUGUGUGUUUGACAAAUGUCUCUGGUGAUAUUGAGAAGGAUGGAAAGGAGGAAGUUGAGACUGGGAGCAAAGAGAACUCUGUAAUUUGGGGCAGUUGACCUAACAGGUUAUUUAUGAGCCUUUAUUUGUAAUAUGGAAAUGAUUAUACUUUCUGGUGAUAAAGAUUAAAUAUGAUAAAAUAUGGGAAAUACCACACAGCAGGUAAUCAAAAUGCUAGUUGUCACUUGUUCAAAUAUGUGUAAUCACUGGUUUUGCAUUUCAUCUACACCAACAUAGUGUAUGGACUUGUUCAAAUUAUUUACCUUGAAUAAGACUAUAUUUUCUUACUAGGUCUUAUCACAUUAUUAGGAUUAAAUGAGAUCAUGCUUAUGAAAAUCACAAUGUAACUGAAAUAGACUAUAACACGACAAGUCACUGUAAUUGAUUGUACUAUAAGAGAUGGCAAAAAGGUAGGCAGAGUGAAAGUAUAUUUUAGAGAAAGGAUCAACAAGAUUUGCUAAUAGAGUUAAUAUAGAGGGUAUGGGAAAGGGAGAAAUCAAUUAUGCCUCCUAGUUUUUUAGUGUGAACAGCUGGGUAGAUUGUGAUUUCAUCUACUGAGAUAGAGAAGGUUUGGUGUACAGGUGAGGACCAGGUAUUUCAUGUCUCAGACAUUUAAAGUUUUAAAUGUUGGUAAAAUAUGUAAGUUGAGAAGAAAUUGGAUGUGUAAGUCUGUAGUUUAGAGAAGUCUGCACCAGAAAUAUAGAUAUGGCUGUUGAUGGCAUAUCUAUAGUGGUCACACCAAGGGAACUAUGAGAUCAGCUGAGAGAAGAGAAAAGGAAGACAUCAGAGAGAAUGCAAGAUGUAAAGAAAUUAAAGAUAAGCCAAAGAGACAGACAUAGAGGUCAACGGCACAGGGAAAGAAGUCAGGAGCUUGUAAGUUUCUGAGAAGGAAGGCAUGCCCGGCUGCAUCAAACUCUGAUUAGAGUUUGACUUUUCACUCUUCUCUCUGUCCCCUACUCUGUAGUCUCCCUCCAGAAUCUGCCAGCAAAUAGGAGUUCAAACCAGUUGAGCCCCCCCACGAUGGCUUUGUGGGCUGGGAGCUUCCCUGCCCAGGAUCCCACCCUGGGCUGGGAGCAUGACCUCACUGUGGGGUGAGGGGUGCUCCACAAGUGUGCUCCCACUAGGGCUUAUGCAGCACUCUCUUUUCAGUUUUGCCCAUGUGGCUCCCUCACCUCCCAAGAUUAGUUCAAAAUCUCCCCUCCAUGCCCCUAAGCAACAUGAUUGAGUCCUGAGGGUACAAGAUCUGGCUUGUGGGCCAGUACCUGGGUCCCCAAAAAUCAAUCCCUGACUGUGCUGGGGAGAAGCAUGCUGGUCACAAGUUGCCUAUGGGCUGCUCAAGCAGUUUGAUGUCCCUCCGCUUUGGCUUCAGGGUGUACCCUGCUUUGAUGGAGCAGCUUGGCGAGCAGCACUGGGAAGGGCUGGUGCCCAGGGAGGUCACAGUCCGAGCAACCCUUAGUCUGUGGCAGGUCUUUAAGAGGGAAAGUUUGAGCCCCACUCUCUGUGGAAGCCUCAGUGUGAUGGGUGCACCAAUGGACGGGAAGCAACUGCUCCCAAGAGCAGUUUUGGUCAUCUCUGUCCCCAGAGCUUGGACAUUCUGGGUGGGCUGCCUUUUAGAGGGGGACAGAGAUGACCAGUGUGCUAGCUUUGCCUCAUUCAGAUUCUUUUCCUCCCCUUCCAUUCCCCUACCCGUGGCUACCCAGAGAGAAGAUUGAGCUCUCAUUACCACAAACUCGAGCCAAGAUGGCAGGCACCAAGA